GAAAGAUGGAAGGAAAACCAGAGCAAGGUAGCAGAGGAUUUGGGAAGCUGAGGCAGGAGGAUCAGGAGUUCAAGGCAUCCUCAGUUUGCCGAUGUCAGUAGAUCCACUUCUUCAGGGUUCCUUAGGGGCACAGUUACCUGGACCAGUGGCAGAGGAGUAAAACCCAUUGUCUGAAAGGUAAGAAGAGGGAGGACCUUGGAUCUUCAGAAACUGCAGUCUUACUCAGCUGUGAGCCUCUGUGGGGAUGCUAGGAACUGAACCCAGGUCCUUUACAAGAGCAGGCUCUAAAGAGGAGAGAUGGGCGGUUUAGGCUUAAGCACAGUUUCUGGAAGGAUAGCAGGUUUUCUGAUAUCCCUCCAUACCCACUCUCCAUCAGCUUCUCCCUGGACAGCUCUCCUGGGCUCCUGGCUGGGAGCCUGACUGGGACCAGUCAGAGGGAAGACCCUGUUGGAGUCUGGAGAGGAGAGGAGAG
rnacentral:lncRNA from 1 species